rnacentral:rRNA from 1 species
UACGUAGGGUGCGAGCGUUGUCCGGAAUUAUUGGGCGUAAAGGGCGCGUAGGCGGCUUGCUAAGUCGGACGUGAAAUCCCUCGGCUCAACCGGGGGAACUGCGUCCGAUACUGGCGGGCUUGAAUUCGGGAGAGGGAUGUGGAAUUCCAGGUGUAGCGGUGAAAUGCGUAGAUAUCUGGAGGAACACCGGUGGCGAAGGCGGCAUCCUGGACCGACAUUGACGCUGAGGCGCGAAAGCCAGGGGAGCAAACGGGGAUUAAGAAACCCCGUGGUAACGUCCAGAACCAAACGUCUCCUGCUAACCCGUA